GACGAACGCUGGCGGCGUGCUUAACACAUGCAAGUCGAACGGUAAGGCCCUUCGGGGUACACGAGUGGCGAACGGGUGAGUAACACGUGGGUGAUCUGCCCUGCACUUCGGGAUAAGCCUGGGAAACUGGGUCUAAUACCGGAUAGGACUCCUGGCUUCAUGGUUGGGGGUGGAAAGCUUUUGCGGUGUGGGAUGGGACCGCGGCCUAUCAGCUUGUUGGUGGGGUAAUGGCCUACCAAGGCGACGACGGGUAGCCGGCCUGGGAGGGUGACCGGUCACACUGGGACUGAGAUACGGCCCAGACUCCUACGGGGGGCAGCAGUGGGGAAUAUUGCACAAUGGGCGCAAGCCUGAUGCAGCGACGCCGCGUGAGGGAUGACGGCCUUCGGGUUGUAAACCUCUUUCAGCUAUGACGAAGCGCAAGUGACGGUAGUAGCAGAAGAAGGACCGGCCAACUACGUGCCAGCCGCCGCCGUAACAC
rnacentral:rRNA from 1 species